rnacentral:rRNA from 1 species
CCCUUAGAUGUUCUGGGCUGCACGCGCGCUACACUGAUGCGAUCAACAAGUUUUUCCUAUGUUGAUAGACACGGGUAAUCUUUUGAACUCGCAUCGUGAUGGGGAUAGAUUAUUGUAAUUAUUAAUCUUCAACGAGGAAUUCCUAGUAGGUGCAAAUCAUCAGUUUGCAUCGAUUACGUCCCUGCCCUUUGUACACACCGCCCGUCGCUGCUACCGAUUGGUUGAUCUGGUGAAUUAUUCGGACUGCCGGCUGAAGGGGUUUCCUCAUCUGCCAGCGGAAAGUCUUGUUAACCCUAUCAACUAGAGGAAGCAGAAGUCGUAACA